rnacentral:rRNA from 1 species
CGGAAUCUGCCUAUUUGUGGGGGAUAACGUAGGGAAACUUACGCUAAUACCGCAUACGACCUACGGGUGAAAGCGGAGGACCUUCGGGCUUCGCGCAUAUAGAUGAGCCGAUGUCGGAUUAGCUAGUUGGCGGGGUAAAGGCCCACCAAGGCGACGAUCCGUAGCUGGUCUGAGAGGAUGAUCAGCCACACUGGAACUGAGACACGGUCCAGACUCCUACGGGAGGCAGCAGUGGGGAAUAUUGGACAAUGGGCGCAAGCCUGAUCCAGCCAUGCCGCGUGGGUGAAGAAGGCCUUCGGGUUGUAAAGCCCUUUUGUUGGGAAAGAAAAGCAGUCGGUUAAUACCCGAUUGUUCUGACGGUACCCAAAGAAUAAGCACCGGCUAACUUCGUGCCAGCAGCCGCGGUAAUACGAAGGGUGCAAGCGUUACUCGGAAUUACUGGGCGUAAAGCGUGCGUAGGUGGUUUGUUAAGUCUGAUGUGAAAGCCCUGGGCUCAACCUGGGAAUUGCAUUGGAUACUGGCAGGCUAGAGUGCGGUAGAGGGUAGUGGAAUUCCCGGU